AUACGGAGGAUGCGAGCGUUAUCCGGAUUUAUUGGGUUUAAAGGGUGCGUAGGCUGGUUGUUAAGUCAGCGGUGAAAUUUCGGGGCUCAACCCCGGCAGUGCCGUUGAAACUGGGAGCCUAGAGUACAGAGCAAGUAAGCGGAAUUUGUGGUGUAGCGGUGAAAUGCAUAGAUAUCACGAGGAAUGCCGAUUGCGCAAGCAGCUUACUGUCUUGUCACUGACGCUAAAGCACGAAAGCGUGGGUAUCGAACAGGAUUAGAUACCCUGGUAGUCCACGCCGUAAACUAUGAUUACUAGCUGUUUGCGAUAUAUUGUAAGCGGCACAGCGAAAGCGUUAAGUAAUCCACCUGGGGAGUACGCCGGCAACGGUGAA
rnacentral:rRNA from 1 species